UGGGGAAUUUUGCACAAUGGGGGAAACCCUGAUGCAGCGACGCCGCGUGAUUUAGAAGGCCUUCGGGUUGUAAAAAUCUUUUUUACGGGAUGAAAAUGACAGUACCGUAAGAAUAAGGUCCGGCUAAAUACGUGCCAGCAGCCGCGGUAAUACGUAUGGACCGAGCGUUGUCCAGAAUCAUUGGGCGUAAAGGGUACGUAGGCGGCCUAGUAAGUUAGAAGUGAAAUAAUAUAGCUCAACUAUAUAAAGCUUUUAAAACUGCUAGGCUUGAGAGAUGGAAGGGAAAGUGGAAUUCCUAGUGUAGCGGUGAAAUGCGCAGAUAUUAGGAAGAAUACCAGUGGCGAAGGCGACUUUCUGGUCAUCAUCUGACGCUGAGGUACGAAAGCGUGGGUAGCAAACAGG
rnacentral:rRNA from 1 species